AUAAUGUUGAUGGAUUUGUCCCCUA
rnacentral:piRNA from 1 species